rnacentral:rRNA from 1 species
CCCUUAGAUGUCCUGGGCUGCACGCGCGCUACACUGGAAGUUACGGAUUGAGAUACUACCUUGUCCGAAAUGGUCCGGGUAAUCACCUAAAAGCUUGUCAUAAUUGGAAUGGAUUAUUGUAACUAGUAAUCCUGAACGAGGAAUUCCUAGUAAGUCCCAGUCAACAGCUGGUACUGAUUACGCCCCUGCCCUUUGUACACACCGCCCGUCGCUACUACUGAUUGGACGUUUAAGCAAGAUUUUUAAACACUGACAGUGUGUAGUUCACGCUAUACUACAGUGAGAAGAAGAAGAUCGAGCUUACUUGUCUAGAGGAAGUAAAAGUCGUAACA